GGGAAUAAGGCUUAGUGGUAGAGUGCUUGCCUAGCAUGCAUGAAGCCCUGGGUUCGAUUCCUUAGUACCA
rnacentral:tRNA from 1 species